AAUGUAGUGACUCCUAAUACCUUCUUAAAUACUACGUGUCUAAUAACUUUAAAGUACUUAAAUGCAUCUGUUAGUGUUUGAAAAUUCAGUCUUGAAUUUUUAGAAAAUACGUAUUUUUCUAAAGCAAAUACUCUCUCCAAUAAUUAUUUGUAGCUUUGUGAUACAAAAAGGAAAGGGGAAGGAAAAAAGAAAUACAUAAAUUAUAAAUAAAAAUGACUGAUUUUAUUCAUCGUUUGCGCGAUCAAACUUGAUUAUGAACUAAAGAGGUUAAUUAUAAUUGUUUUUAUAGCAUUUUCAUUCAUUAAGGCUCAAUUUUAUUGUGUUUUUGUGAAGCAUGGAACACGUAUUGGCAAGGUACAACAGGGCUCCAGAAUCAAUUGAAAAUGUUGCAGCAAAGCCUGAAGUGAAUGCUUUCCGAGCUGAAAUUGCAAUGCUACGUCAUUUGCAACGUCGGAUGAUGAGGAUGGAACUUGAAGGCUUGAACUUCAAAGAGUUGCAGCUAGUGGAGCAUCAGUUAAGCAAUGCAUUUUAGCUGUGAAUAAGACAAAGGAACAAGCACUAUUGGAGAAACUUGAAAAAUCAUUGCUGCAGAUGGAAAAGGUUAUGGUAGAAAAUGCAGCCAUGCGUGAAGAAAUUGAGGAACUGAAACGCAGCUCAAGGAUUAAUCAUUUUGGUUCUGAAGAAUUCAGUUGGUGAUUCAGACGCUUGCGUUUAGGGAAACCAGUUGAUACAAGUGAGAAGAUGAUAACACCCAAAGUGGGAAAUGAUGCUCAAAAUCCAAUACUAUUGGAGUAAUAAUAUCUUGCAUAAGAAGAUAUUUCUUUAUCACAAUUUGAAAUUAAGACUCUCUUUAGUUUUUACAUUAUAUUUAUGUUUGCUUAGCUUAGAUUUAGCUAAGUUUUUAUCAAGUCAAAAGAUGAUUUUUGUUUUAUUUUUCACCAUAUUUCUUCUCUUAUGCUAAGUCAAUUUAUGACUACAUCUUGUUGUUGAAGCUGGUA